rnacentral:tRNA from 1 species
GCUGAGUUAGCAGAGCCCGGCCAAAUGCAAAAGGCCUAAGCCCUUUACUCAGAGAUUCAAAUCCUCUACCCAGCA